AUACAUACAUGAGCAGCACUUUGGCAACAGUGGGAAGGAAAAACUCCCUUUUAACAGGAGUUUGCAAAACUGCAAAUCCUUUCAUGAGUCUGCAGUUGUUCAGUUUGGAUUUAAUUCAUGAUUUGUUUUUAUAAAAUCAAAUGUAAAGAUGAUGCCUGCUAAUGGGCGAGGACGUGCUGUCUAGUGCAGCAUUACUGUAGCUGCCUACAUGCCUGGAAGCUCAGUUUACUGUCUGCCUUUAAUCCACAGGAAUCAAAUGAUUCCAGGGAGAUGCUGAUUUACAGAUGAACACAAAGCUGCGUCCAAUCUGCUGAUGCUGAUGUAAAACCACGUCAGGUGGAGUUUCAUGUGUGAGUUCAGUGUGUGGGCUGAUUAUGGUCUGUGGGCUGGCACGGCUUGGAUGAGGAGGGAGGACAUAGAAGACAAUUAGAGAAGAACAUGGGGGGAGCGUCACGUUUAGUUCAAAUAAACGCACUCGCAGAAAGAAGGUGUGCAGAUUUAGCCGCAGGCAGCCAUGACGUGAUGUGCAUCAGACAAACUGCAAUGACAGCAAAUCUUGAACUUCCACUAGAAAAGUGGACGAGCUGUUUGGUUUGACACAGCAGGGCUGAGCAGAAGGAUCAUCUGUGUGGAAAGAACAUCAACACAAAUAUCUGCAGUUCUAAGGGCUGAAAGAAGAAAAACAAUCUUUACAAUCACUGACAUGAAAUGAGUCCAUUCAACAACUUUUUGAACUCGCUGUAUCAAAGGACCAAGUUGUGUGAUGAAAGGCCAGCAGUGCUGUGCACUACCAAGUAAAUCCAUGAGCAGUGUUGCUCAUAUCAAUACUAACACUGCUCUGUGUCACUUCUAAUGGCAGUAUAUGUAUGUAUAUGUAGGGGAGAGCAGUGUGUCAGCAUUUAUGAGAUGAACCAUCAUCAAUGUUCUGAACACAUUUUAAUGACACUAAAUCACUGUGAUGUUCACAUUCUGCAAUAAUUAGUUAACACAAUAAAAACACAGCUUUGAGCUUUUUUGGACACCUUGAAUAUAAAUGUGCGUCUCAGUAAAACACAAUGUGCUGCAGGCUACAAAUAAAAUAGGUGUGAUAGUCACACCAAAAGCUUCAGACAGUUUUCAUUGUGCAUGUUUGACCUACUUUGUUUUUCCCCCAAAAUAUUGAUGUAACACAGUCCAGUGUCUGUAUAAUGAACUUAGAGCAUAGAAACAAAGUCUCAGUCCCAUCACACUAGUAUUGAUCCGACACCAAUACCAGCGUUGGUAUCGAUUGGCCACCUUUAAGGUCCAAUUCAUGCCUUUAUUGAACAACUAAUUCCUGCCUGUUCAAAUGAAGUUCCUGCAGAAGCUUUAAAAGGAGCAACAUUUCAGUCUGUCACACUAACACAUGCUGGAGCAGCUGUUCAUAUUUAACAUGCACAUAUUGUUCACAAGCAAACAAAGCGCUGCAGUUCUCCCUCUCUGUGAAGCAGCACAGUUACAUGGAAAAGAUAAAGCCUACAGUGGACAAGCUGCUGAUCUCAGAUCUGUAGGUGAUGACAGAGAGCACAUGUGGCUGUGCAUUUAUUAACACUGGGAACUGUGGGAACCAGUAGAAGAAGAAGGCUGCUUGAUGAUAUUAAGGUAAGUGUGGAAACUUCUUCACACUGAGCAUUUAAAGCCUGCUGGCUGCUCAUGUUGUGAGUGUGUGUGUCCUCACUCAUCAGGAGUGUGUGAAGCUUUCAUGUGCAUCCAUCUGUUCCUGCAUCAGUGUGUGUGUCCUCUAUGAAAAGCUUGAGAGCUCCUCAGACCGUGCACACACACACAUGAAGACCAGGCUGUGUCACAAAGUUUACACGUUUGAUCCGACUGUGUGAAGAACACAACAUGUGAAGCUUCAGCUUCUCUCUGUGUUUAAACACACUCACAGGCAGCCAUGUGACUACCAAGCUUCAGCCAAUCAGAACAAACUGGAGCAAAGUUCAACAUGUUAGAAGUUAGUUUGUGCCCAGUGUGCAUGUUUCAUGAGUGCUGUGAUAACUCUGUGUGUGCGUUUAUUGAAAUGGCUUUAAGAUGCUUUGUUUCACUUUAUUGGCAGCAGUGUUGUGACUGCACGAGCUGUGACUGAAAGGAUCAGGCUGAAGGUACGAACGCCAUC